rnacentral:tRNA from 1 species
GUCCGGAUGGCUUAGUGGUCAGAGCAUCUGCCUAGUGAGCAGGAGACCUGGGUUUGAAUCCCAGUCUGGCACA